rnacentral:rRNA from 1 species
UACGUAGGUGGCGAGCGUUGUCCGGAUUUACUGGGCGUAAAGGGAGCGUAGGCGGACUUUUAAGUGAGAUGUGAAAUACUCGGGCUCAACUUGAGUGCUACAUUUCAAACUGGAAGUCUAGAGUGCAGGAGAGGAGAAUGGAAUUCCUAGUGUAGCGGUGAAAUGCGUAGAGAUUAGGAAGAACACCAGUGGCGAAGGCGAUUCUCUGGACUGUAACUGACGCUGAGGCUCGAAAGCGUGGGGAGCAAACAGG